GAGCAAAAUGCCUGUUAACCGAAGUUUGAUUAAGAUUCUCUCCCUUCCCCAGGUCCCUGAACUUUGGCCUACCCUCAGCCUGUGUGAGUGAUAGAGAUAGGAGGCAGCCAAGGGUCCCCGGAGAAACCCCGCCUUCAAGCCUAAAACAGCUUGAAGGCUGAAAAACCAAACUGCCGGUCCCAGAUGAAGCCCACCCUUUUCCCGACUGAUUCGUUCUGAAUAAUGCGCACAUGCGCACUAGCGAGGACAGGCUGGAGCCUCUCGAAGUUUGCGCCCUUUGCAGGGGGGAGGAGCCUGGCCUCUCCAGUUCCUGUGUGGUAACCUGAGAUUCAAUCUGUGAGGCAGGAAACCUGCUAGCAGGGCUCUCUCUCUCUUUGCUGUGGGUUCCUGUUUACCUUUUUCUUAUAUUUUUUCCUUUUCAUCCAAUAAAUUCCAUUCCCCCUCACCCGUCAAAGUGUCUGUGUGCCUAACUUUUACUGGUUGUAUGACAAGAACCCAGUGUUUUCUACAACAUUUUUGGCGUCCGGACGUGGGGCUUGAAGAAGGGUUCAAGCAAUUCUCCUGCCUCAGCCUCCGAAGUAGCUGGAACUACAGGAGAAGGAGGGGAGAGGAAAAGAAAAAGGAAGUAAGAUCGAGAAGCUGUGGGGCCAAAGAAUGGAACAGAAUGUUGCAAUGGAGUGCUGAUUACUCUUCAGCACCAUUCUGGGAAGGAAAUGCCAAGACCACUCCCAUCUCUCAGAAUUACUCAUCUGAGCACAGACAACUGGCUCGGUGGAGAAUUAAUCCUGUAUGUUUUACAGUUCAGCUAAAACCAAAGUGGAUCUGUUGUUUUCCUUGCCCUAAAACUGAAGAUAAAAUUUUGUUAAAAUGGGAACGGUUAUUUCUAAAUGAAGGAAUGUUGGUUAACAGGUAAUUUUGCCCUUGUGCCACCUCUAAAGAUUCAAAUAUAAGAAAUAUUAUUUGUAGUGACCCUUUACAAAUAGAUCAACCACAAAAACAAAGAUUCUUGUAGCUGGCAUAUAUGUGAAUUUAUGAUCUGGAUCAGAGAAAACAUUUUAAAAACAACAAGAUUCAUUUAAUUAAAUACAUAUUUUCUUAAAACAAAAUUUAUCAAAUCAUAAGGAAUUUCACCAUUUCUGUAAUAACUUAUGAUGGAAAAUUCUGUGUCAUGCAAAUGCUAAGAAUGAUCUUCCCAGGUUCUCCCCUCCCUAUCUAUUUGAUUCUAUUUUUAUUGUUGUUUCUCUUGAAUGACACAAUUGAUCCAAUAAGCAGCGCCAUCUUUGUAUUAUCCAUUUGAUGACCCUAAGGACUUUAUUAAUAAUUUUCAAUCUGGCCUUUUUUAAUAAGUAGGCACAGUCACAGACAGUAAAAUUAAAAUAUCAACUAUUCCCUUUUGUAAAUAUGAAACAUCUGAGAUCCACCGCAUUAUAUGUGGAAUAAGGUUAGAUAAAAUUUACAUUUAGAAAAAACGUACCCCUGUCUUCAUUCAACCACUCACAAAC
rnacentral:lncRNA from 1 species